AGCGCAGUAAUGCGUUAAGCUAACUGAUACUAAUUGCUCGUGCGGCUUGACCCUAUAACUUUG
rnacentral:rRNA from 1 species